CAAUAGCGUAUAUUUAAGUUGUUGCAGUUAAAAAGCUCGUAGUUGGAUUUCGGGUGGGACGCAGCGGUCUCGCAUUGCGUUUGUACUGCUGCAGCCCUCCUUCUUGCCGGGGGCGGCCUCUCGGACUUCACUGUCUGGGGGUCAGAAUCGGCGAUGUUACUUUGAGUAAAUUAGAGUGUUCAAAGCAAGCUUACGCUCUGAAUAUAAUAGCAUGGGAUAACACGACAGGACUCUGGCCUGUCGUGUUGGUCUAUAGGACCAGAGUAAUGAUUAAGAGGGACAGUCGGGGGCAUUCGUAUUCCGUUGUCAGAGGUGAAAUUCUUGGAUUUACGGAAGACGAACAUCUGCGAAAGCAUUUGCCAAGGAUGUUUUCAUUGA
rnacentral:rRNA from 1 species